GACAGAGGUCCCGAGCGUUAGGCGGAAUCACUGGGCGUAAAGCGUGCGCAGGCGGUUUUGUAAGCCAGAUGUGAAAGCCCCGGGCUUAACCUGGGAAUGGCAUUUGGGACUGCAAGGCUUGAGUGCGGCAGAGGAGACUGGAAUUCCUGGUGUAGCAGUGAAAUGCGUAGAUAUCAGGAGGAAUACCGAUGGCGAAGGCAGGUCUCUGGGCUGACACUGACGCUCAUGCACGAAAGCGUGGGGAGCAAACAGG
rnacentral:rRNA from 1 species